GUUGCAUAAUCAUCAAUAGGUAUAAAAUACAGGCAAAAGUGAAGUUUAUUACUAUUUUUUCACAUAAAACAUAGUACGACAGGAAGAGAUGGCAGAAGUGGAACUACAAAGCUACAGUCAACCCGAGAUACACAUUUCAAUUCUAUCAUCAUCAAUUCCUGAUUAAGAAAAAAGCCCUCUAGGAAAUGACAAUAACAGAAGAGACGUUUCUGGUAACUUCGCUUGAAGCAGCCCCCACAACAACUGAAAACCAUAUCUUACAAUGACCUAAAAUAAACAAACAAACACACACUGGUAGUAGGGUUAGGUUAUACUCCUGCAAGGGCUUGACCAAAAAUGAGCCAUGCAAGAGCGUCCUAACCACAGAAGACACUGCACCAACAUUCCUGCUAAUAACUGUGUGCGUCAAAUAUCCCAGUUAAUGCAGGAACAUCCUAUUCACAUGUUCAUUGAAAGAAAAGGCUGGACAAUAAUAAUAAUAUUCACAGCUUCUUUAGAUAAGAGACUAGCAGAAAACCCAAGUAGAAAAGUUUAUUCUUCACAAUUAAAAGAGAAGAUGAUGGUGUGUUCACUAAGAUUAACCAUCUAAAUUGGAGGAGCUGAAUGGUGGGGUUGCACCAGCAGAAGAAGGAGGAGAAGUCCCAGCAUCUCCUCCGCGGUUUCCUCUGUUUAAUUUCAGAGUUUCCCCUGCUUUGGCGAUUAUCGAGGAGAUUGUUUUUGUGAAGCUCUCAAGAAUCUGAGCUUUAAUUUGGCCUCUUUUUGGUAGAAUAUUUGCUUUCUUUCCCUUGAGGGAGGUGGAAGAAGCCUCGUCCAUCGGCAUCGCCUCAAACAAGAUAAUCUAAAAACAGAACAGAAACAGAGCACAGAUAGAACAGA
rnacentral:lncRNA from 1 species